rnacentral:rRNA from 1 species
UACGUAGGGAGCAAGCGUUAUUCGGAAUUAUUGGGCGUAAAGGGCGCGUAGGCGGCUGGGCAAGUCAAAGGUGAAAUCCCUCGGCUCAACUGAGGAACUGCCUUUGAAACUGCCUGGCUUGAGGCCGGGAGGGGGUAGCGGAAUUCCCAGUGUAGCGGUGAAAUGCGUAGAUAUUGGGAGGAACACCAGUGGCGAAGGCGGCUACCUGGACCGGUUCUGACGCUGAUGCGCGAAAGCGUGGGUAGCAAACAGG